CCGCUACACCAGCAGCUCCUGAUACAGACACUCUCGAGUUCUUUUCGUUGGAGAGCUAGGUCCAAACACCAACUGCAGAAAGAUGUCCUGUCCACGCAGCCAGUGCUACUCAACCUGCCCUCCCAUGACUGUGGCUAUCCAGCCACCACCCUUCAUGCUGACCAUCCCAGGACCAUCCAUGUACUGCUCUGACCAACCUCUGUGCAUUGAGCAAUGCAACCCUUGUGCUCCAUCCCGCCAGGCCAUCAGCAACGUGUCCUACACUUCCUUUGCCAAGGGAGCAAGCACCUAUUCUCAGCAGUCACAACAGAGAAGCCAGAGUGACUACCACUCUUCCUAUUGAUGCUGAGCCCAGAAAAUGCAAUCCACAGAAGAAUGAAGAGGUUGAGAUAUCAUGUUCAACUCUUAUCAAUGCAUGUUUGUUUUGUCCUCUAGGAAUUGCUCUUCUUUAAAAUGAGCUAUAUUUUCACUGAACCCUUCUGUUUUGCGUGCAGUAAAUUAAGCAAUGUGUUCGAUUUGGCACCUGACAUUUCUAACUCUGGAAUUCUACUUUUCUUCUCUUGCAAAAAUAAAGCCAUCCCUUCAUCAUA